UACGUAUGGUGCAAGCGUUAUCCGGAAUGACUGGGUGUAAAGGGAGCGUAGACGGUUGUACAAGUCUGAUGUGAAAGCCCACGGCUCAACUGUGGAGUGCAUUGGAAACUGUAGAACUAGAGUAUCGGAGAGGCAAGUGGAAUUCCUAGUGUAGCGGUGAAAUGCGUAGAUAUUAGGAGGAACACCAGUGGCGAAGGCGGCUUGCUGGACGAAAACUGACGUUGAGGCUCGAAAGCGUGGGGAGCAAACAGG
rnacentral:rRNA from 1 species